AAGCUUUGACUGGAGAAGCUUAGCAUCAACCAAAGCCGUUCAAGCUGCCUCCUUCAUCACAGAAUUCUGCCAUGUGAUCCCAGGCGGUGGCGGCGCAGUCUGGUUCAUCGGACCAACCUUUGGCGUCGGCAGCGCAAGCUCUUUCCUCUUUUUCGAUUUAGAUCUCACCUUACUGCCUGCCACGGCCUGGCCUUGAGUCUUCUCAGGUUUCUUCCCCAUC
rnacentral:lncRNA from 1 species